AUUGAACGCUGGCGGUAUGCCUUACACAUGCAAGUCGAACGGCAGCACGGGUGCUUGCACCUGGUGGCGAGUGGCGAACGGGUGAGUAAUACAUCGGAACGUACCUUAUCGUGGGGGAUAGCGCAGCGAAAGCUGUGCUAAUACCGCAUACGCCCUGAGGGGGAAAGCGGGGGAUCGCAAGACCUCGCGCGAUUAGAGCGGCCGAUGCCUGAUUAGCUUGUUGGUGGGGUAAAAGCCCACCAAGGCGACGAUCAGUAGCUGGUCUGAGAGGACGAUCAGCCACACUGGGACUGAGACACGGCCCAGACUCCUACGGGAGGCAGCAGUGGGGAAUUUUGGACAAUGGGGGCAACCCUGAUCCAGCAAUGCCGCGUGAGUGAAGAAGGCCUUCGGGUUGUAAAGCUCUUUUGUCAGGGAAGAAACACUGGCUCUAACACAGUCUGGGAAUGACGGUACCUGAAGAAUAAGCACCGGCUAACUACGUGCCAGCCGCCGCGGUAA
rnacentral:rRNA from 1 species